AUGUUCACUGUUAUAUUCAUGUGUCUGUGGCUUUCACUAGGUGACUCCAUGGCAGAUUCAAUACAGCCACUUUCCCCUCGUGUAGUUGUAGAUGAAGGUGUUAAUGUUACUCUGUCCUGCAACUACAAACCCAGCAGUACUGCAACAAACAACUACCUGCACUGGUACAGACAAUAUCCAAAAUCUAAACCCGAGUUCCUUCUUUAUAUUUCUCAAACUGGAGCUCUGAGUUCCAACCCUCCCCCAAGAAUGUCUGCUAAAGUUGAUAAUAAUAAUGAUAAUAAACGAGUGGAUCUGCUCAUCUCCUCUGCUGCUGUAUCAGACUCUGCACUAUACUACUGUGCUCUGGUGUUGAAGGCCGUAGCUGACACCAUCUGCACCGGAAUCCAACACAGCAAACAUCAGCUCCCAAUAAGACACAACAUCGCCUUUGUCAGAGCAGGAGGAAAACCUCAGGUGGAGAUCAGGGCCUCAACUGGGCUGCUAGCCUCAGCUCAGGACUGGCAGCUGAAGGUUGACCUAGUGACCGCAAUGAGGUGGGCUGUAGGGGCUUUGCAGGGCAAUCUCUACAUCAGACACUCAGCUUCCUUGGCACCAGAGGGCUGCAGGAAAGAAGAGCCACCAAGAACAUCACCAAAGCUGUAG